CACAUAAGGGAGAAACUUUUACAAAAUAUGUUUCAACUGCAUCUAUAACUCUGACCAGAAACCAUGAGAAAGAUUCCCUGAACAAGAGUUUGACUAUCUCUUCUCAGCUUUAUGAGACAGUACAAGACACUCCACAUUCUUUACCUCUGGAAACAACUGACAACAAAAGAGGAAACCAGGGGUGCAAAGAGAACACGUUAGGAAACGAAGAGUGAUUUAAACCUACCAGGGUGGUUUUUCAAGGAGCAGAACAAUCACCUCAAUUAAAGGUGGAAAUCAUACAUGCUUAGUAAUGUUCUGAUUAAAUGUUUGUUUUUUAGUACGUUGAAAUAUGUUAUGUUUUGCAAUAAUGUUAC